AACGAACGCUGGCGGCAUGCCUAACACAUGCAAGUCGAACGAGACCUUCGGGUCUAGUGGCGCACGGGUGCGUAACGCGUGGGAACCUGCCCUUAGGUUCGGAAUAACUCCCCGAAAGGGGUGCUAAUACCGGAUAAUGUCUUCGGACCAAAGAUUUAUCGCGUUUGGAUGGGCCCGCGUUGGAUUAGCUUGUUGGUAGGGUAAAAGCCUACCAAGGCGACGAUCCAUAGCUGGUCUGAGAGGAUGAUCGGCGACACUGGGACUGAGACACGGCCCAGACGACGACGGGGGGAAGCAGUGGGGAAUAGUGUACAAUGGGCGGAAGCAGUAUGAAACAACUCCGCGGGCGGGAUGACGUACUUCGGGUUGGAAAACGCUUCCGCCGGUGACGAAGCGUGAGGCACGGGAAUGGGUAAAGAAGAACCGGCUAACUACGUG
rnacentral:rRNA from 1 species